GGGAAUGAUUGAGUGGCUGGUGCUCUCCGCGGCCUUCAAAGCCGUUGUCUCCGUAUAGAGCGGAGAGCUGGGUUCGAUUCCCAGGCGUUCCCGCUA
rnacentral:tRNA from 1 species